rnacentral:rRNA from 1 species
AUUGAACGCUGGCGGCAGGCCUAACACAUGCAAGUCGAGCGAGCGGCGGGCGGGUGAGGAAUGUAUGGGGACUGCCAGAGAGAGAGGGAGAACGACUGGAAACGGUAGCUAAUACCGCAUACGAACGGAUGACGCAUAUGGGAUUAGCUAGUAGGUGAGGUAAUGGCUCACCUAGGCGACGAUCCCUAGCUGGUCUGAGAGGAUGAUCAGCCACACUGGGACGGAGACACGGCCCAGACUCCUACGGAGGCAGCAGUGGGGAAUAUUGGACAAUGGGCGCAAGCCUGAUACAGCCAUGCCGCGUGUAUGAAGAAGGCCUUAGGGUUGUAAAGUCCUUUCAGUCGGGAGGCGUUACCGACAGAAGAAGCACCGGCUAACUCCGUGCCAGCAGCCGCGGUAAUUC